GCCCGGCUGGCGCAAUGGUAGCGCGCAAGACUUCUAUAUUCUCUCACCGAGACGAUAUCAGUUAUCUUGAGGCUGUGGGUUCGACCCCCACGUCGGGCU